GUUUAUUGAGAUUAAAUAGAACAAGAUACAAAACAUGUUAAAAACACAACAGCCUUAGUAAACACAGACUAGUUCGGACCUGGAGGCAGGAUUCAUACGUCAUCACUUAUAGACCAGGUUGUGUUGACAGUCAGAGGGUUCAUAUUUUACCUGUUGGUAAUGCACCUGCAGGUCUCAGCCAAUUACAGCCAGCACAGGUUCAGGUGUCAGUCUGAUCUGGUCUCUGAUUCGUUCUCAGGGAUCUUCUGCACCAUCUCCCUGUGCACAUAUGCAGCCAGCGUGACCUACGACCUCUCCAGAAACCCGCCCUUCAUCUACGGCCUGCCGGCUGACGUGGAUCACGGUUAUGGCUGGUCCAUCUGCUGCGCCUGGGCCAGUCUGGGUCUCACUGUAGCGUCUGGCUGCCUCGGCACCACCUUCCCCUUCCUGAGCCGGGCCGGAGCACUGCGGUCCAAAACCGCCCACGAGUCCUCCGUCUGAGGCGAGGAAGAGGAUGAUUCUCGGACGACAAAAGGUGUAUUUUUGGCCGGUUCCGUAAUAGGAGGGGCCUCGGACUGCAGACGGAGCUGCGCACCUGUUCGUGCUCCUGAUUUGGACCCAGCUCAGGUCACCUCAGCGUGCACUCUGAGCCUCGCCUGGUUCCUGUGAUCCAUCUCUGCAGUGGUGUGGCCAAAGGUACCAUCAGUGAUCAAGUUAAUAAAAGAUAAAUUAGCUGUUGGUCAAUCAGGUGAGUCAUCUGUACUUACCUGACAUCAAACAUGUAAAGCCCAGUUGAGAGUCAGACAGGUGGCCAGGUCUCAGCAGCUGUCUGUCAGUCAGCUCUGACUCACCGUUUUCUUUCUGCUGUCCCAUCGUCCAAUCAGAAGCUUCAUCGGUGUGAAAGUCACCUGAACUGAGGCAGGUCACAAAGCUGCUGCAGCUGGGUCCCCAUCAGGAGCAUAACAGGAAACACACACACACACACACACACACACACACACACACACACACACACACACAGGUGUGCGCUGGGAUCCAAACCUGCUGCAGGUGUGAUCUUCAUGGAGCCUUCCCAUGCGGAUGUUUCGGAGCGCUGUGCUCCGAUCAGUCAGUUGGGCGGAGCUUCAGGUGCACGCGAGCGCUCUGAGCUCAGGUGAGUGUUAUCCAGUCAUGCGGGGUUCACACGUUGCUUAGGCAUUUGAUGUUCGGGUGUGGCCUUCUUAGUGAUGACAGCCAAUUACAGACAAGCAAAGCUGAUUGUUCUUGUUCGGCUUGGAUCCACAAGCCAGUUCAAAACGUGAUAGGUGUGAAUCCCGCCUGAUGGAUCAGAGUCUGAGCUGCAGAGCGUCACGUGACCAGGUGGCGUGCUGCAGGUUUGGAUGGCGGCGGCCGCUCACAGAUGUGUAUAUAAAUGUGCUUUCAGCUGCGAGCUGAGCCACAGACUGAACCCUUUACUCUGCGACGCUGAGCAGGUGCUGCUCACUGACUUCAGGCUUCCCGCAGGAGGGAACGCACUAACAGAUGAUCCAGCUUUUUCAGGUAUCAGCCUCUGAGACUCUGCAUCAGCCUAUCGGAAGCCCCGAUGCCUUCUCGUGACCCCCCUGUACGAGCAGAAUCGGACGUUUGAAGUUCAGGCUCUGAGCUUUCAAAAACAUCUGGAAUUACAAACAUUCAUCCACCAGCUGCAGACACCAAACUGAGAAUGUCCACAGCAUCCUUCCCAUCAUCAGGAGGAGGAGCGUGAGGAGGAGUAUCAGGGGGACGGACCCAUCGAGGUCUUUAGGCUCCUGAGGGAGAAUGACGGUGGAUGAAAUGUUUGUGUGCGGCUCAAAGUCAGAACUUUAUUUAAUUUCAAGCCGACACGCAGAGUGAAACGGUGACUCACCAUCACUAUCGACCUUUAACCUGUAGAUUCCACACUGAAAGCUCCCAUGUUCCUCCUGAUACCCCAUCAUAGCUCCACUGUCCCCUCAUGGAACCUUUGCUGCCCCCUGCUGGACACAGCUGUAAAUACAUGGUGUAAACAUGAUGGGACUCGUCACCUGUAGCUGCUCCUGUGGAAGAUCUGUCAGCAUUUGUUGGAUGUAUUUAUAUCUGAGAAUUAAAUAUUUGUUAAAUGUG